AGUGAACGCUGGCGGUAGGCCUAACACAUGCAAGUCGAACGGCAGCACAGUAAGAGCUUGCUCUUACGGGUGGCGAGUGGCGGACGGGUGAGGAAUACAUCGGAAUCUACUUUUUCGUCGGGGAUAACGUAGGGAAACUUACGCUAAUACCGCAUACGACCUACGGGUGAAAGCAGGGGAUCUUCGGACCUUGCGCGAUUGAAUGAGCCGAUGUCGGAUUAGCUAGUUGGCGGGGUAAAGGCCCGCCAAGGCGACGAUCCGUAGCUGGUCUGAGAGGAUGAUCAGCCACACUGGAACUGAGACACGGUCCAGACUCCUACGGGAGGCAGCAGUGGGGAAUAUUGGACAAUGGGCGCAAGCCUGAUCCAGCCAUACCGCGUGGGUGAAGAAGGCCUUCGGGUUGUAAAGCCCUUUUGUUGGGAAAGAAAAGCAGCAGGUUAAUACCCCGCUGUUCUGACGGUACCCAAAGAAUAAGCACCGGCUAACUUCGUG
rnacentral:rRNA from 1 species